UACUCCGGGGAUAACAGGCUGAUACCGCCCAAGAGUUCAUAUCGACGGCGGUGUUUGGCACCUCGAUGUCGGCUCAUCACAUCCUGGGGCUGAAGUAGGUCCCAAGGGUAUGGCUGUUCGCCAUUUAAAGUGGUACGCGAGCUGGGUUUAGAACGUCGUGAGACAGUUCGGUCCCUAUCUGCCGUGGGCGCUGGAGAACUGAGGGGGGCUGCUCCUAGUACGAGAGGACCGGAGUGGACGCAUCACUGGUGUUCGGGUUGUCAUGCCAAUGGCACUGCCCGGUAGCUAAAUGCGGAAGAGAUAAGUGCUGAAAGCAUCUAAGCACGAAACUUGCCCCGAGAUGAGUUCUCCCUGAGACUUUAGGUCUCCUGAAGGAACGUUGAAGACGACGACGUUGAUAGGCCGGGUGUGUAAGCGCAGCGAUGCGUUGAGCUAACCGGUACUAAUGAACCGUGAGGCUUAACCUUACAACGCCGAAG
rnacentral:rRNA from 1 species